UAAAAAGCUUUACUCAAAGCCAUAUAUAGUUAAUAAAAAUAAAAUG
rfam:Podiceps cristatus contig44732, whole genome shotgun sequence.